AAUUAUUGAACUUGUAAAGUAUAUAUUUUGAAAGUAUAAAAAAGAAGUACUAAUCUUCUAAUAAUUU
rnacentral:tRNA from 1 species